CUCCUACGGGAGGCAGCAGUGGGGAAUUUUGGACAAUGGGCGCAAGCCUGAUCCAGCAAUGCCGCGUGAGUGAAGAAGGCCUUCGGGUUGUAAAGCUCUUUCAGUUGAGAAGAAAAGAUUGUGACUAAUAAUUGCAAUUCAUGACGGUAUCAACAGAAGAAGCACCGGCUAACUACGUGCCAGCGCCGCGGUAA
rnacentral:rRNA from 1 species